AAGGUGAAUCUGAGUUUAGUGGCGGACGGGUGAGUAACGCGUGAGGGAACCUGGCCCUUUCAGUAGGGGGACAACAGUUGGAAACGACUGCUAAUACCGCAUAACGCAUAUUGAUCGCAUGGUCGAUAUGCCAAAGAUUUAUCGCUGAAAGAUGGCCUCGCGUCUGAUUAGCUAGUUGGUGAGGUAACGGCCACCAAGGCGACGAUCAGUAGCCGGACUGAGAGGUUGACCGGCCACAUUGGGACUGAGAUACGGCCCAGACUCCUACGGGGAGGCAGCAGUGGGGGAAUAUUGGGCAAUGGACGCAAGUCUGACCCAGCAACGCCGCGUGAAGGAAGAAGGCUUUCGGGUUGUAAACUUCUUUUAAGUGGGAAGAGUAGAAGACGGUACCACUUGAAUAAGCCACGGCUAACUACGUG
rnacentral:rRNA from 1 species